rnacentral:rRNA from 1 species
UACAGAGGUCCCAAGCGUUGUUCGGAUUCACUGGGCGUAAAGGGUGCGUAGGUGGUAAGGCAAGUCAGGUGUGAAGUCUCCGGGCUCAACCCGGAAAUGGCAUUCGAAACUACCUUGCUAGAGGGUUUGAGGGGGGACUGGAAUACUUGGUGUAGCAGUGAAAUGCGUAGAUAUCAAGUGGAGCACCAGUGGCGAAGGCGAGUCCCUGGAAAACUCCUGACACUGAGGCACGAAAGCUAGGGGGAGCAAACAGG